GAUGAACGCUGGCGGCGUGCCUAAUACAUGCAAGUCGUGCGGGGCGCAGCGAUGCGCCCAGCGGCGAACGGGUGAGUAACACGUAGGCAACCUGCCUUCGAGACCGGGAUACCCAGGCGAAAGCUUGGCUAAUACCGGAUAACAACGGGGACCGCAUCGGCCCCCGCUUGAAAGGUGACCCCAAAGCACCGCUCCUAGAUGGGCCUGCGGCACAUUAGCUAGUGGCGGGCAACGGCCACCAAGGCGAGGAUGUGUAGCCGACCUGGGAGGGUGACCGGCCACAAUGGGACUGGGGACACGGGCCCAUACUCCUACGGGAGGCAGCAGUAGGGAGUUUUUCGGCUAAUGGGCGAAAGCCUGACCGAGCAACGCCGCGU
rnacentral:rRNA from 1 species